UACGAAGGGGGCUAGCGUUGCUCGGAAUCACUGGGCGUAAAGCGCACGUAGGCGGCUUUUUAAGUCAGGGGUGAAAUCCUGGAGCUCAACUCCAGAACUGCCUUUGAUACUGAGAAGCUUGAGUCCGGGAGAGGUGAGUGGAACUGCGAGUGUAGAGGUGAAAUUCGUAGAUAUUCGCAAGAACACCAGUGGCGAAGGCGGCUCACUGGUCCGGUUCUGACGCUGAGGCGCGAAAGCGUGGGGAGCAAACAGG
rnacentral:rRNA from 1 species